CCCUGAAAGAUGAUCAGGUUGAUAGGUCUGAGGUGGAAGUGUGGCGACACAUGGAGCUGACAGAUACUAAUCGAUCGAGGACUUAACCCA
rnacentral:rRNA from 1 species